ACUGGGAGACUGGCGAGGCGGAUAUACGAGCGACGGGGAAACUGGCUAGGGUCCGAAGGUUUAGCAAGCUUCGGUGACUUGAGGAAACAGCAGGAGCGGGGGCCGGACGGCCUGAAGGUGUAGAAAGCAGGGAGCAGGUUUAAGAUCUUCUUCUGGCCCUCCUCUUGCCUGGCCUGCACCUUAGGGUCUCUUUACAAUUUAGAAGUUGCUGAAUUAUAACCUCAACCGAAAAGAGGCAGCGUGAAGGAAACCCGAAAUUGCCGGGUAGCUGCGGCUAUAACACCCACUUGGAUCUCUUGAGAUCAGAAAUACCAAAAUGCUGGCUCGUUAGGGGAGCUGGGAAAAGAAGGGACAAAGUACCAGGUGAUGUGUUUCCUGGUGGACAAUUUGGAAGUCAAAGAAAUGUUUAAGAAUACAUGUGCUUUGAACAUUGGCUUUGCUUUCUAUCCUGGCCAGAUACUGACAGCCUUCACUUCAAUCCGAGGAAAAUUAUAGGUGGAAUUGGGUUUUCUGGAUGAAUAUUCCAGACCUCUAGACUGGAGAGCGCCCGUGGGUCUCGAACCAGCGGGCCAAUCGGCCUGGGCGGUUGGGAAGCCAGACUCGAAGGAACUGCUGGGCUAAAGCCAGCCCAAGCCAAUACUUUCAAGCUUGUAGCUUUUUCCUAGCCUUUAAGCUAUUAUUAUUGUCUGUUUUGUGUUUUUUAUAAUAAAUUUCUUCCUCUUGCUGAA